GGGCACUGAAAGCCCUGACUGUCCCUGCCUGGCCCCCUUGAGGCUCUUGUCACCUGUCCUCAGCCCAGGACUCCAUCUCAGUCUCAGAACUGACAAACUCUGCCCCAGCAAUGCUGCCGCAAGGACCUUGUCUGGCUCCCCACAGCCCUGCCCUGCUGAUCAAUGGGCCCCACUGACCUGGGCCUCUCCACAGGUGUCCCCAUUCCUGGGGGGCGUGCCCAAAGCCCAGGGCUGCCCAUGGUGCCCUUUGCUCCUAGUUAGGGCUGUAAGAGCACUCAGGUCCAGCAGAGCCACUCAUCCAUGCCCUGGGCAAAACAGAUGCAUCAAUGCAUGUUAGAGGUGAUGAAGAUGUGUCCUUAUCUGGAGGCUUCUCAGUGGUGCCAAAUAUAGCAUUUAAUUUCUGGAGAUGGGUCAGAGUGGACAGAGGUCACCUACAGUGGUCAUGGAAGGAAGACAGAAGACAGAAGACAAAGGAGAAGGAACUGCUGAAUAGAAUGGCACUCUACCAGUCUUGAUCUCCACGUCAGCAGGCACACUGAAGGAUGCCAGAUGUUUUUCUACUCUAGGCAAUUUGCUGCCUUACUUUUGGCUUCUGCCCAGAGCUGCCCUGUUUUCCUGGCGAAAUGUUCCCAUUUUCUCAUCUUUUCAAUGCAUUCACAAAAGAUCACUGCAAACACACAACGCUGCUCUCUGUGAGAAGCUCUCUUUUAAGGGGCUGUCUACUGAAAGCCCUGAAAAGAGGUAAGCAGUUACUCACUCAUCCUGGAUGCGUAAGUAGGGACUAAUUAUUGAAAAACACCCACCAUAUUGUAUCAACAGUAGCAUGGUAAAGUAAAAGAAAAGGCCUUGCCUCAAAAAUGUUCUCUACAUUGUGCAGGGAAGAAGAUAAAUAGUUGACUGACUGGUGAAAGAGGUUUCAAGAUCCAAAUCUCUUUUACAGCUGGGAAGGCCACUUAUUCUGGGUUUGUAAUUUCGGAGGUGUGGGUGUAGCCGUGCUGCUACUGGGCACAGCACCUGGAGUCCUUCAUGGGCAUUAGGAAGGCACUUGGGCUAAGCAUGUCCUGGCAUGUAUAUGAUGCAGCUGGAUAACUGGAUCUAGUAACUGUGCAAUUGUUUUGUUCAUGUUUCAUUUCUUCCUUAUGCAGCUACAAAAUCCUGUGUAAAUAAACAAUAGUGUUUCCUGCUUUAAACAAGGCAGGAAAUUUCCCCAGUUUAAACUCAGAUCAGCAGUUUAGCAAGUGAGACAGGAGGGUGCUGCUGAAGCUGGGGGUGGCAGUGGAGCAGGCAGGAAGACAGGAUGCAGCCCCACAGUGUUGGGGGAUAGGGGACAGCAGGGAGCAGUGGCAGCAGCCAGGGGCACCCAGCAGGACCACUACACGAGGAUAAUGAUGUCAGUCCAGGAUGGGUCACAGCUGAGUGCAGGGACAUGCAUGACCAGACACAAGAUCACAGGGUUACCUGCAGGAGAGCUCAAGCCAGACUUUAUCCAGAACAUUAUGCGGUUCCCAGGAGAAGCAGAGAGUGUCCCAUGGGGCUUCUCACACUUUCUGCUCUGCAGCUGUGCUCAGCAACUUGGAAGCACAACUGUGCUUUGUCGGAGCAGUCAUGAGCACAAAUGCACAAACCCAGAGAGGGGAUGGAUGGGUGGAAGGAGGUUGCAGAAUCUGGUAGUGCACUGAGGGUCAACAGUGACUGCCAGUGUUCAUACAGACGUUGUGCUUCAGCAAUGACUAAGGUGGCAUUCAAGGGGUCCAUUUGUGAACAUAUUAACAAGCCAAUAUUGACAAAGAUAAUAUCAUUGUUUUUGUAACUGUUUGGAAUUCUCCAGGAUGGAUUUUUCAAUCGUCUGAACUUCCUGUGCAGUCUCACAGACGGUAGAAGACUGGGAGUGUCAGGAGAUAAGGAGAGUAAUUUGAGGAAUACUAAGCAGGAAAUUAAACUUAGAAAUAAACCUUGACAAUGGUUUUCAUGUCGUCAAUGUAUAAAUUAAAUACACCAUGAAGUAGGAAUAGUUAAUUAAAUCUUCUUAGAAUUAUUGCCAAUUAGUUAUUUUUAAAAAACUGAUGACAGCCAUUAAAGUAUGUUGUUGUGAAAGGAAUUCUGCUCAACAGAUCUAAAGCAGUGUUUUCUGCUCCAUGUAGAGCUAAAUUGUGAUUUCUCAGAGUAUAAAUCAUGGGGGGGGGUGGGUAGUUUCACUCCUGGUCUACAUCUUCUGUAUCUUUUUUUGGAUAGUUUGACCAGUUGACAAUAAAAUGCUUUUCCCAGCACUUGAUUUAUGUUUAUGACUUGAAACAUUUUUUCCUGGGUGCAACAAAUUCUUCUGCAUUUACAAUACAUGACACUGGUUUAUAAAAAAUUUGCUGAGUGCAAGCACAACAUAUUCAUUCUCAAAUCCAGUAAUUCUGUAAGUUGUUAAAGAACUUUCUGAGAAAUAUUUAUGCAUUAUGAGGCUUUCAAAUGCUUUCUGGUAAAGAAUAUGCAAAGAACAACCUACUGCCUUAAUUUUGUGUGGAGGGAUGAUGUAUUUGCAGAGGCAAUUUACUCAAAUAUAUAUGAUAGAUAAUGCAAUUGCAUUCCUAAAAAAAAUAAAAAGGAAUCUUCCUUCAAGAGUCCCUCUUAAUUGGCUACUUCAUCUUUUUACUUAUUGGUCUUCAGGUUACUCUUUAAAUCUCAGAGAAAUUUAAACUGAAGUAAUAAACUUAGUGCCUAAAUAGUUAUGUUCUUUAAAAGCUAUAAUCAAGUUGUCUGCUUAACAUAAACAGAUUGUAUGUAGAUCUGUUUAAUGUUUUACAAGUAUAUCAUUUUUAUGCAGAGCAGCGUCUUUACAGGGAACUCAGCCUGUCACUGGAUGUUUAAAUUUUCAGUGUCUGUUGUCAUGGCAACAUGAAUUGACUCUGGUACCCACUGUGCUCAGCAUAAAUUAAUUUAAAGUCAUAGUACUUUUCUUUUCCUUGGAUUUAUUGUGGU